rnacentral:lncRNA from 1 species
UUUAAGAUCACUAGGGACUGUGACGGAAAUAUAUUAUAGCUUAAGGUUAUGAUCACUUGGAACAUGACAAUUAAAUUCAGUGCUUAAGGUGUAAGAUCACUGGGCAUUGUGAUAAAAUAUAUGCAUCGGGUUUUGGUUUUCGAUGAGUGUGGAAGGAAAGUAUAAAUUAUCUUUGAUCAUGAUAAGAGAGGUUUGACCUAAGAUAAGUGUAGAAAGGUUCACAAUGGCAUAUCAGUUAUACCAUAUUCGAAUAUUAUUUAAAUGACCUGCAAGUUCAAAUUUGAUAUGGGUUUUGAUGUGAUCGUACUUUUGGUUUUGCUGCUAAUUAUUAGAGUGGGAUUUGUACGUAGAUCUUCCAUAGUAUUGGAGUGAGCUAAGAAGAUUUUAUAAUAUUGAAAGGAAUGUUCUUCGAAGUUGAAUAUGUAUGUGGUAUUGGCAUGUUUGGAUAUUACAAAUAGGUCUAUUUUCUAUUGAUAUAUUUGAUUUUAUUUUGAGGCUAUUGAGUUGGCAUAUUGAUGGGGGAAUUCUAAUUAUUGAAUUCAUAUAUUUGGAUUGGGCUACUGAAAUUUU